GUGUCAGCCGCCGCGGUAAUACGUAGGGGGCAAGCGUUGUCCGGAAUUAUUGGGCGUAAAGCGCGCGCAGGCGGUUCUUUAAGUCUGGAGUUUAAACUUAGGGCUCAACCUUAAGUCGCUCUGGAAACUGGGGAACUGGAGUGUAGGAGAGGAAAGUGGAAUUCCACGUGUAGCGGUGAAAUGCGUAGAGAUGUGGAGGAACACCAGUGGCGAAGGCGACUUUCUGGCCUAUAACUGACGCUGAGGCGCGAAAGCGUGGGGAGCAAACAGGAUUAGAUACCCUGGUAGUCCACGCCGUAAACGAUGCAUGCUAGGUGUUAGGGGUUUCGAUACCCUUGGUGCCGAAGUAAACACAGUAAGCAUGCCGCCUGGGGAGUACGCUCGCAAGAGUGAA
rnacentral:rRNA from 1 species